GAGUUUGAUCAUGGCUCAGGACGAACGCUGGCGGCGUGCUUAACACAUGCAAGUCGAGGGCACUUUGGGGGCAACUCUGGAGUGACCGGCGAACGGGUGCGUAACACGUGAGCGACCUUGCCUCGUGGUGGGGGAUAGCCGGCCCAACGGCCGGGUAAUACCGCAUAUGGUGCUGUCUCCGCAUGGAGAGAGUAGCAAAGCCCUGGAGCAAUCCAGUGGCGCCACAGGGGGGGCUCGCGGCCUAUCAGCUAGUUGGGGGGGUAAUGGCCCACCAAGGCGACGACGGGUAGCUGGUCUGAGAGGAUGGCCAGCCACAUUGGGACUGAGAGACGGCCCAGACUCCUACGGGAGGCAGCAGUGGGGAAUCUGCGCAAUGGCCGAAAGGCUGACGCAGCGACGCCGCGUGGGGGAGAAGGCCUUCGGGUGUAAACCCCUGUUGCCCGGGACGAAUGUGCGCUUCAGAGCGUAUUGACGGUACCGGGUGAGGAAGCACCGGCUAACUCCGUGCCAGCAGCCGCCG
rnacentral:rRNA from 1 species